AUUGAACGCUGGCGGCAUGCUUUACACAUGCAAGUCGAACGGCAGCGCGGGCUUCGGCCUGGCGGCGAGUGGCGAACGGGUGAGUAAUGCAUCGGAACGUGCCCAGUAGUGGGGGAUAGCCCUGCGAUAGCCGGAUUAAUACCGCAUACGACCUGAGGGUGAAAGCGGGGGACCGAAAGGCCUCGCGCUAUUGUAGCUGCCGAUGUCGGAUUAGCUAGUUGGUGGGGUAAAGGCUUACCAAGGCGACGAUCCGUAGCUGGUCUGAGAGGACGACCAGCCACACUGGGACUGAGACGCGGCCCAGACUCCUACGGGAGGCAGCAGUGGGGAAUUUUGGACAAAGGGGGCAACCCUGAUCCAGCCAUGCCGCGUGCGGGAAGAAGGCCUUCGGGUUGUAAACCGAUUUUGUUCGGGAAGAAAUCCUCUGGGCUAAUACCCCGGGGGGAUGACGGUACCGGAAGAAUAAGCACCGGCUAACUACGUG
rnacentral:rRNA from 1 species